rnacentral:rRNA from 1 species
GAUGAACGCUGGCGGCGUGCCUAAUACAUGCAAGUCGAGCGAACAGACGAGGAGCUUGCUCCUCUGACGUUAGCGGCGGACGGGUGAGUAACACGUGGAUAACCUACCUAUAAGACUGGGAUAACUUCGGGAAACCGGAGCUAAUACCGGAUAAUAUAUUGAACCGCAUGGUUCAAUAGUGAAAGACGGUUUUGCUGUCACUUAUAGAUGGAUCCGCGCCGCAUUAGCUAGUUGGUAAGGUAACGGCUUACCAAGGCAACGAUGCGUAGCCGACCUGAGAGGGUGGUCGGCCACACUGGAACUAAGACACGGUCCAGACGCCUACGGGAGGCAGCAGAAGGGAAUCUUCCGCAAUGGGCGAAAGCCUGACGGAGCAACGCCGCGUGAGUGAUGAAGGUCUUCGGAUCGUAAAACUCUGUUAUUAGGGAAGAACAAAUGUGUAAGUAACUAUGCACGUCUUGACGGUACCUAAUCAGAAAGCCACGGCUAACUACGUG